rnacentral:rRNA from 1 species
ACGAACGCUGGCGGCAUGCCUAACCCAUGCCAGUCGAACGAGACCUUCGGGUCUAGUGGCGCACGGGUGCGUAACGCGUGGGAACCUGCCCUUAGGUUCGGAAUAACUCCCCGAAAGGGGUGCUAAUACCGGAUAAUGUCUUCGGACCAAAGAUUUAUCGCCUUUGGAUGGGCCCGCGUUGGAUUAGCUAGUUGGUAGGGUAAAAGCCUACCAAGGCGACGAUCCAUAGCUGGUCUGAGGGGAUGAUCAGCCACACUGGGACUGAGACACGGCCCAGACUCCUACGGGAGGCAGCAGUGGGGAAUAUUGGACAAUGGGCGAAAGCCUGAUCCAGCAAUGCCGCGUGAGUGAUGAAGGCCUCAGGGUUGUAAAGCUCUUUUACCCGGGAUGAUAAUGACAGUACCGGGAGAAUAAGCUCCGGCUAACUCCGUG